rnacentral:rRNA from 1 species
UGAAGCGAAAGUAAAAUUUCGUGGAGGUCCGAACCCACGAGCGUUGAAAAGCUCGGGGAUGACUUGUGGGUAGCGGUGAAAUUCCAAUCGAGCCCGGAGAUAGCUGGUUCUCCCCGAAAUAGCUUUAGGGCUAGCCUCAAGGUGAGAGAUACGGAGGUAGAGCACUGAAUGUCCUAGGGGGUAUUGCACCUACCGAAGACUAUCAAACUCCGAAUGCCGUCAUCUUAUACUUGGGAGUCAGACUGUGGGUGAUAAGAUUCAUAGUCGAAAGGGCAACAGCCCAGAUCGUCAGCUAAGGUCCCUAAAUGUAAGUUAAGUGGUAAAGGAUGUGGGAUUGCACAGACAACCAGGAUGUUGGCUUAGAAGCAGCCACUCAUUCAAAGAGUGCGUAAUAGCUCACUGGUCGAGUGAUCCUGCGCCGAAGAUUUCCGGGGCUAAAACUUACUACCGAAGCUACGGCAUCAGUAAUGAUGGGUAGGGGAGCUUCCCAUACGGGUUGAAGCAUGACCGUAAGGACAUGUGGACAGUAUGGGAGUGAGAAUGUUGGCAUGAGUAGCGAGAUGUGGGUGAGAAUCCCACAGGCCGUAAACCCAAGGUUUCCAGGGGAAGGUUCGUCCGCCCUGGGUUAGUCGGGACCUAAGCUGAGGCCGAAAGGCGUAGGUGAUGGACAACAGGUUGAUAUUCCUGUACUACCGAUAACCGUUUGAGAGAUGGGAUGACACAGUAGGAUAAGCUAAGCACACUGUUGGUUAUGUGUGCCCAAGCAUUGAGGCAGUCAAAGUAGGCAAAUCCGCUUUGAUAAUGCUGGGAUGUGAUGGGGAGCGAAAUUUAGUAGCGAAGUAGCUGAUUUCACACUGUCAAGAAAAGUCUCUAUCGAGGUUAAAGGUACCCGUACCGCAAACCGACACAGGUGGGUGAGGAGAGUAUCCUAAGGCUAGCGAGAGAACUGUUGUUAAGGAACUCGGCAAAAUGACCCCGUAACUUAGGGAUAAGGGGUGCCACCAUCAGGUGGCCGCAGAGAAUAGGCCCAAGCGACUGUUUACCAAAAACAUAGGUUUCUGCUAAGUCGCAAGACGAUGUAUAGGAGCUGACGCCUGCCCGGUGCUGGAAGGUUAAGGGGAUCUGUUAGAGCAAUCGAAGCAGUGAACUUAAGCCCCAGUAAACGGCGGCCGUAACUAUAACGGUCCUAAGGUAGCGAAAUUCCUUGUCGGGUAAGUUCCGACCCGC